rnacentral:rRNA from 1 species
GAUGAACGCUGGCGGCGUGCUUAACACAUGCAAGUCGAACGGAAAGGCCCAAGCUUGCUUGGGUACUCGAGUGGCGAACGGGUGAGUAACACGUGGGUGAUCUGCCCUGCACUUCGGGAUAAGCCUGGGAAACUGGGUCUAAUACCGGAUAGGACGAUGGUUUGGAUGCCAUUGUGGAAAGUUUUUUCGGUGUGGGAUGAGCUCGCGGCCUAUCAGCUUGUUGGUGGGGUAAUGGCCUACCAAGGCGUCGACGGGUAGCCGGCCUGAGAGGGUGUACGGCCACAUUGGGACAGAGAUACGGCCCAGACUCCUACGGGAGGCAGCAGUGGGGAAUAUUGCACAAUAGGCGCAAGCCUGAUGCAGCGACGCCGCGUGGGGGAUGACGGCCUUCGGGUUGUAAACUCCUUUCGCUAGGGACGAAGCGUUUUUGUGACGGUACCUGGAGAAGAAGCACCGGCUAACUACGUG